AUCAACCCCAUUGCACACCUCUGCUAUAUUUCCAAGCUUAAGGCCCUUAUUUUGUGUCACAAGAUUUCUUCAGAAUGGCAUUAACCCACAACUCAUUUCAAGUGAAGAUUAUGGUUGUUUUCUUGGCCAUCAUGCUUCUCAUGUCCUCAGCAGCUGCCAGAAGCCGAUCCAGACAUUACGGUCGGAGACAUCCUCGAUAUGACAAUAGCCCAUAUUACUACAGCCCUUCCCGAGGUCGGAAUAAGCCUCCAUAUUACGAUAGCCCUUCCGACACAUAUGGUAGUACGGAAAGUGGAGGGGGAGGCGAUCCAUGCUGUAAUUAAGAAGCUCUCUAACCUUGAAGAAAAGGAAUGAAAGGAACAAGGGCAAAAGUCACUACUUUAUAGAAAAUUGUUAUUUUGUUUUAAAUAAAGACAAUAUAUAUAUAUAUAUAUAUUGGACUAAGACAAUAAAUUGCUCAAGACAGCAAAAUUUACUUUUAAUUUUCUCUGUAAUAAUGGUACUUCAUUUUAUGUAUGGGUCUUGUGCUAAUGUCAUUUCUAUGAAUUGUUUCAGUUAUUUCCCAA